GAGCUGUGGAGCAGGCGAUAUUUUUGACCUGGGUCACAGAUCCAUUCCUGCCCACUCUUUCCCUGCCGCUUGCAGGAAAGGGUCCCCACAUAACGAUGUAGAGAUGAGCUUUUAAAGACGAGGAGCGGGAGCACAGCGCUGCAGCCUCCCAUUCAGCAGGGCUCUAAAAAUCACAAGAAAAUAGCACCUGAGAUGAUCUCAAAGGAACAAUGACCUGUUAAUUUUGUAAACGGAACAAAAUAACACAAUGCAUCCAACAUGCAAGUGAUUGCUAAUGGACACAAAUCACACAUCGGAGAUGACAAUGCUGAUAACUGUAUCAUCCUCCAUCCAGCCUGCUCCCAUCCACCACCACCUUUCCCCCCCUCCCACCCUACCAAAGCCUGGAAAGGACAACCUGCGACUCCAGAAGCUGCUGAAAAAAGCAGCCAAGAAGAAUGCAGUUGUAGCUUCGGAGCCAGCCAAGUCCUUUCGGUCCUGCCUCUCACCUGUGAACGAGGCCAGCUCUGACCUAGAGCACAAUGAGAGUGCUCUCCCACUA